CUCCUUUCUGCAGCCAGGCAUUCCUGGUCUCUGCUUGCUGCCUCCAGCUCCUGUUAAAGAGGCCUGCCUGGGUUUCUGCUUCUUUCAGAGUCCCUCUGGCCCCUGGGUGUGGGUAACGCCACCUUUUCCUGUUAUCUCUACAGCCUAGGGGUGGUCACCACUUCCUGCUGUUGGUGAUCGCUGGGUGGCCUCCCCUCCCCUGUUUGGCAUCUCAGCAAUUCUGUCACCUUGUAACCAGUUUCCAGUACUGCAUCCCUUCAUGGAAUGGCUUCUGUUUUCCUGGGUGGAUCCUGACUGAAAGAAGGAGACUAUGGAAAUGAUGUUAGACAAAAAGCAGAUUCAAGUGAUUUUCUUAUUCAAGUUCAAAAUAGGUCGUAAAGCAGCAGAGAAGAUGACUCGCAACAUCAACAACGCAUUUGGCCCAGGCACUGCUAACGAAUGUACAGUGCAGUGGUGGUUCAAGAAGUUUUGCAAAGGAAACAAGAGCCUUGAAGAUGAGGAGUGUAGUGGCAGGCCGUUGGAAGAUGACAACGACCAAUGGAGAGCAAUCAUUGAAGCUGAUCCCCUUACAACUACAAGAGAAGUUGCUGAAGAACUCAGUGUCAACCAUUCUACGGUCGUUCAGCAUUUGAAGUAAGUUGGAAAGGUGAAAAAGCUCAAUAAGUGGGUGCCUCAUGAGCUAAGCGAAAAUCAAAAAAAUUGUCAUUUUGAAGUGUUGUCUUCUCUUAUUCUAUGCAACAAUGAACCAUUUCUCGAUCAGAUUGUGACAUGCCACUAAAAGUGGAUUUUAUACAACAGCCGGCGACGACCAGCUCAAUGGUUGGACCAAGAAGAAACUCCAAAACAGUUCCCAAAGCCAAACUCGCACCAAAAAAAGGUUAUGGUCACUGUUUGGUGGUCUACUGCUGGUCUGGUCUAAUCCACUUUAGAGUUCUGAAUCCCAGCGAAACCAUUACAUGUGUGAAGUAUGCUCAGCAAAGUGAUGAUAUACACUGAAAACUGCAAUGCCUACAGCCGGCAUUAGUCAACAGAGAGGGCCCAAUUCUUCUCCACAACAAUGCCCGACCACACAUUGCACAACCAACGCUUCAAAAGUUGAACGAAUUGUACUACAAAAUUUUGCCUCAUCUGCCACAUUCACCUGACCUCUCACCAACCAACUACCACUUCUUCAAACAUCUCAACAACGUUUUGCAGGGAAGACAAUCCACAAUGAGCAGGAUGCAGAAAAUGCUUUCCAAGAGUUUGUCAAAUUCCAAAGGACAGAUUUUUAUGCUACAGGAUUAAAUUUAUUUCUCUUUGGCAAAAAUGUGUUGAUUGCAAUGGUUCCUAUUUUGAUUAAUAAAAAUGUGUUUGAGUCUA
ensembl:lncRNA novel transcript